CCUACGGGAGGCAGCAGUAGGGAAUCUUUCACAAUGGGCGAAAGCCUGAUGGAGCAACGCCGCGUGCAGGAUGAAGGCCUUCGGGUUGUAAACUGCUUUUAUAAGCGAGAAAUAUGAUGGUAACUUAUGAAUAAGGAUCGGCUAACUACGUGCCAGCAGCCGCGGUCAUACGUAGGAUCCGAGCAUUAUCCGGAGUGACUGGGUGUAAAGAGUUGCGUAGGUGGCAUAAUAAGUAGCUAGUGAAAUCUGGUGGCUCAACCAUUCAGACUAUUAGCUAAACUGUUAAGCUCGAGACCGUUAGGGGUAACUGGAAUUUCUAGUGUAGGAGUGAAAUCCGUAGAUAUUAGAAGGAACACCAAUAGCGUAGGCAGGUUGCUGGGACGGUUCUGGCACUAAGGCACGAAAGCGUAGGGAGCAAACGGGAUUAGAUACCCGUGUAGUC
rnacentral:rRNA from 1 species